rnacentral:rRNA from 1 species
AGGCAUGCGAGUCGAGAGUCUUCGGGACUCGGCAGACGGCUCAGUAACACGUAGAUAAUCUGCCCUUAGGUGGGGGAUAACCCCGAGAAAUUGAGAAUAAUACCCCAUAGGUCUAAGAUGCUGGAAUGCUUUUAGAUCAAAAGCUCCGGCGCCUAAGGAUGAGUCUGCGGCCUAUCAGGUUGUAGUGAGUGUAACGGACUCACUAGCCGACGACGGGUACGGGUCCUGAGAGGGAGAGCCCGGAGAUGGACUCUGAGACACGAGUCCAGGCCCCAAGGGGCGCAGCAGCUACGAAAACUUCACAAUGCGGGCAACCGCGAUGAGGGAAUUCCAAGUGCUGCAGUUUAACUGUAGCUGUUUUUUUGCCUAAAAAGCAAAUAGAGUAAGGGCUGGGUAAGACUGGUGCCAGCCGCCGCGGUAAUACCAGCAGCCCGAGUGGUGAUCACUUUUAUUGGGCCUAAAGCGUCCGUAGCCGGUUUGGUAAACCCUUGGGUAAAUCGAACAGCUUAACUGUUCGAAUUCUGAGGAGACUGCCAGACUUGGGACUGGGAUAGGUUGGAAGUACUUUUGGGGUAGGGUGAAAUCCUGUAAUCCCAAAAGGACUACCGGUGGCGAAGCGUCCAACUAGAACGGGUCCGACGGUAAUGGACGAAGCCUGGGUCACGAACCGGAUUAGAUACCGGUAGUCCAGGGUGUAAACGCUG